CAUACUUUAUUUUUGAUCAACACAUUAAUGUGAACCCUUGUUUCUCCUGUCACCUGUGUUCACAGUGACCCUAGAGAGGUAACUAGGACAGCAUCUUAUCCCCUCUCACAGCUGAGGAAACUGAGCUGUGGAGUUGGGAAGCAACUGCCCUCAGGUGGCAGGUAGGUGAAGGGGCCAUGUCUGGAGGCUGGGUCUCUCUGACACCUGUGCCCUUUCUGCUGCCUGUGGGACCUCCAGCAGUGCAUGGGUCAAGUGGAGUCCAGGUAGCUAGAACCCUGGGGCUCACAGCAUAUGUUGUCUGAUUACAAAAAAAAAGAGCAAAGGUAUUUUUUGACCCAGUUAAACCAUAAGGGGACAGUCCAAUGGUGUUUGCUUUUUUUUUUUUUUUGAGGCAGGGCCUGGCUCUGUUGCCCAGGCUGGAAUGCAAUGACACGAUCUCAGCUCACUGCAACCUCUACCUCUUGGGCUCAAGCCACCCUCCCACCUCACCCUCCCAAGUAGCUGGGACUACAGGUACGCACCACCACACCCAGCGGAGUUUUGUACUUUAUAUAGAGAUGGAAUUUUACCAUGUUGCCCAGACUGGUCUCGAACUCCUGAGCUCAAGAGAUCCCCCAACCUCGGCCUCCCAAAGUGCUAGGAUUACAGAUGUGAGCCACCGUUCCCGGCCCCACAAUAGUGUUUUUUAAAAUUACCUUUCCUUUAACCUUUCCACUUAAUUUUUGAUGAGACUCUCAGCAUCUCAGUGUCUAACAUCAGACCUGGUUUUGGCAGCCAAGAAGCCUUGAUCUGUCUUCUGCCUCCAAGAUGUCUGUGAGCUCUUUCCACUGUGACCCCACAGGCAUGGUUGUUGACAAAACUUGUGCUUAGUGAAAGAUGGCGGAAAUUUCCACCUUUAGGAAUGUGGGUAACAGUGCUCAAGAGUGGUCCACUGAAGCGGUCAGCCCAUCCAGGUGUGCACCAGAGCAUUUGCUGGUCUUCUGCCUACCCCGGACAGAUAGGAGUCUAAAUGUCAGAUGUGCCAGCGGUGGGUUCAUGGUGCCCACCAUUUGGCAGGAAUCUUUUUUGAUGAUAGAAACCCAGGGCAGUGAUGUUUGUGAAUGUGAGUAUUGAGAUGGUGGAUACUUCUUGGUGCUCUGUGUGCUGCUUACAGUUCAGUGGGGCUUGCCCACUGAGAAGAGCUGGUCCCCUGGCAGGCCAUGUCUCAUGUCUGAAGAUCAUUCUCCUGCCUUCCUUUUGCCCACCACUCUCCUUUUUCUUUCUUUUUCUGAAAGGUAGGGAGGGAUAGGAUUAAGUAAAAGGUUAUCUAUAAAAGCUGCGUGCCCAAGAAGUCUGCAAGCCCACUGACGUCCUUGGUUUCAUGGUUUAAAGUGAGAUGCUGCCUAGUAAAGGGGUGAAUCCUUUUACUUGAACAUCCCUAGAGCUCAUUUAACGAGAGCCCUUUUAUUCACUUCUAAAGAAAAUACAGUGGAUAUUCACAUCACAAAGUCAGAUUUCUUUUUGUUUGGACAUCAAUAAGGACAUACACUCGCUAGUUUGUUUUACACAUCAGGUAAAAAGCAUUUGCUUUUCCGUUUUCUUCUGGAAUGGUCCUUAAGUAAGCCUAGUAGAUGACUCCUCAGUGUUUCUUUAAAUUCUUGUUACUAGUCCAGAAAGGUGUUGGUGGUAGAUUUCUCCCUUUCUAGUCCAGAUUUGGUUUAAAUUUGUAGGGCCACCUUUUUCCAUCCUGAACAAUCCAGGAAUUCCAUAAAUACUGUUGCCUGGGGAAAGAAGGGCUAAGCAUGUAUGUCGGGAAGGGAGAAACAGGAGGAAUGAAAGGAAGGAAGAGGAAAGAUGCAUGGGAGGAAGAGAGCUGGAUUGGGACUGCACAGUCACAGCCCUUGCCUCCGGUGUCACAAGGGCUUCAUGGGGCUCUGGAGAGUCAGAUCCCUGUGAAAGCAGAUGGACAGAAACCAGCCAGAGAGAGAGGCUCAGAAGAUUGGAGCAGGCAGUUCUGAAGCUCAGGGCUGUGUCAAAAGCUAGCCAAAUGUGUUGGGGCGAGGCGGCUUGCCUGGCAAACCCAUCUGCUUUUUGCUUAAUAGAUGGGUUUGGAUGCCUGUGGAACAGAGGCCUCGGGGGACGAGCUUUGUUAACUUUGUGUUAUGUUGAAGGAAUGUGACAGAGGAGGGUAUGACUGUCAUCCACCCAUCAGGGAUCUGUCCCUGACACGCUGGGGUAGAGGAUGGAAGAACAUGGAAUAGAGGAUGGAAGAAUAUGGAAUAGUGCCCUGACUCGAAAGUUAACCGAUUUCCUUCCCUUCCUUCCCUUCUCUCUCAGCAACUCCGAAGUCAAGCCCGCACUCUGAUUACCUUUGCUGGAAUGAUACCAUACCGAACGUCUGGGGACACCAAUGCGAGGCUGGUGCAGAUGGAGGUCCUCAUGAAUUAAGUGCCAUGCUUUGUGGGAGUCUGGGUCGGCACACUGUCAGUACAUCAGGCACAUGGGCCCACUAGGCUGGGGUUUCUGGUUUUGUUUCUGUUGUGUUUUGUUUUGGUUUCUGUAUUAUGUAUUUUUGUCAACGCCAAUAAAUUUCUUUGAUUUGU
rnacentral:lncRNA from 1 species